ensembl:snoRNA
UUGCACUGUUCGUAACCUGUUAACAGCAUCUUCCUGAUAAUGGGUUCCAUUCCAGUGCUACAUCAUUCCCCAAGAUAAUAGAAGCUGGCUGUUUUUCUGCCUGUCCCCUUUAUUUUGGGGGACAUAA